AACGAACGCUGGCGGCAGGCCUAACACAUGCAAGUCGAGCGAGCAUUUCGGUGCUAGCGGCGGACGGGUGAGUAACGCGUGGGAACGUGCCCUUUUCUGCGGAAUAGUCCUGGGAAACUGGGGGUAAUACCGCAUACGCCCUUUUGGGGAAAGAUUUAUCGGAGAAGGAUCGGCCCGCGUUGGAUUAGGUAGUUGGUGGGGUAAUGGCCCACCAAGCCGACGAUCCAUAGCUGGUUUGAGAGGAUGAUCAGCCACACUGGGACUGAGACACGGCCCAGACUCCUACGGGAGGCAGCAGUGGGGAAUCUUAGACAAUGGGGGCAACCCUGAUCUAGCCAUGCCGCGUGAGUGAUGAAGGCCUCAGGGUUGUAAAGCUCUUUCAGCUGGGAAGAUAAUGACGGUACCAGCAGAAGAAGCCCCGGCUAACUCCGUG
rnacentral:rRNA from 1 species